AUCUUUCUCUCUAUAUAUCUUCCCGGCUGGUUUCUCUCGCUGCCUUGUCAGAUUCUUCAAUGGAACCCUAGUUCUCUCUCUUGCUCGCUCUCUCUCUCUCGGAACCGAGAAACGCUAUCUCGAGGGAGAAUCACGAGGCCUCGGUGACUUCUCCGAACCCUAGCUCUGUCAAGCAAUUGCAGAAAUGGCCUACGCCGCCGCUACCGGAUUCCAGUGGCAGUAGCCGGGAGCAUAAAUUUCCCAAGGAGAAUGCUCCGCCGCCAGAUCCGUACACGUCGCCGUCGGCCGCGACGAAACAUAAGAGUUCGCAUUCUCCUCGGCCGCCGAACUCGAAACAUAAGAGUCCGACGGGGUCUGAGACUGCGGUUUCUGGGUCUUCUGGCUCCGGAGUCAAAAGCAAAUUAAGCAUGCUGACAAAGAGCUCAAGUACCAGUGUCGUUGCUCUUUUCUUGAGAUUUACAAUGAACAGAUCACUGAUUUAUUGGAUCCAAAAUCAAAGAAACCUACAGAUACGAGAAGAUGUAAAAACGGGUGUUUAUGUCGAAAACUUGACAGAGGAAUGUGUUUCUACUAUGAAGCAUCUUGUAUUAAAGCUUUCCCAAGUCUCAAGAGUUGUUUUCUUUGUAACUACUAUUGACAAUCAAUGCCAAGGUAUUCCAUCCAUACAAUUCAUCAGCAUGAUGCUAAAAAAAUGAAGAAAUAACUCAAAAGCUUCGGAGUUAGAAACUCCCUCAGUAUCAUCACUUCAAGCUUUAGGAAGAAGGUGAAAAGUGAGAACAGAAACAAGAAAUAGAAAUGAAUGCACCACCAGCAUAUCAAGAAAUGUCAUACUAUGAGCACAUUCAGCGCCGACGUGAAGAGAAAGGAUGCAUUUAUGCCUGUUUGUUCACCUUGUGUUGCUGUUUCUGCUGUGUUGAGACCUGUGAAUGCUGCUUAGACUGUCUAUGCUGCUGUUGCCCUUGAAAGUUAAAGCACUACCAGAACAAACUAUUUGAGAUCCAUGGAGGACAAUCAGGAAUUAUCACUCUUUUUUUUAACAAAUAAAGGGGAAAAUGGAAUCUUUUCAUAUUUCAUUUCUAUAUCAUGUUAUGAGGAAAUAAUGUAAAGGUCGUGGUGUGUUCUAGUCUAGCUUUAUAAUUUCAUUAUAUAAACAAGGUUUAGUUGAUUUAA